GGCAAACCCACUGUGGCCGCCAGUCUGCCACUCCCAGUUCUUCGUCCCCUCUGCUGGCCUGCCCAGGGGACCUAUGAGGAGUGCGCUGCUCCCCAUCCUGGCUCUUUGGCUGGAGUGCUGCUCUUGGGGGGCCCUGGCCAAGCAGGAGCUGUGCCUGACAGAGCCCACAGCUCUGCUGACCCCCACGGGCUUGCCUACCCUGCAGCUGCUGCCCAGGUCCUUCAACAACAGUCAGGCGCAACCCAUCCCCAGGACCGGCAGUCGUGACAGCCCUGAGGACUGGCAGCCGGACUGGCAGCAGGCCUGGCCUGGCUCCCAGGACAGACCCACCAGAACCCCCUCCGGCCCUCCACCCCCAACCGGAGAGCAUCUGUCAGGCCAGGGCUGGCUCUGAGGAAGCAGUCACACGCACUGGCCUUGGGGAAGGAGUGGGGGCUGAGCCGGGGGGCGCUGGGCAUGGAGUAGGAAAGCUGGGGCGGAAAGGCAGGAGGCCAGGAAGCCAGGAGGAGGGGCCUCAAGCCCAGGAGGCCCCCAAGGGACCUCCUACCCAUCCAGGCUGGGGGCCAAGUACCAGCAGAAGGAGCGAAGCAAAGGCUGUGGGCAGGAAAGACUGGGAAACAGAAGAGAGCACGGGCCUGGGCUUGUAGACCCAGGCACUGCAGAGCAGGCCAUGCCCUCCCUGCCGGCCUCGUGCCUCCUGGCCCAGGCGGCCCUGGCCUGAGUCGACGCCAAGAUGAAGCAGGUUCCUGCCCUAACUGACCCUGACCUGACUAGACGCUACUUGGCAGGGCUCAGCCAGCUGCUGACACUGGAGGUGGAAGGGAACCAGCUGCAUGAUGGAAACAUCUCCCCCCUGGCCUUCCAGCCCCUCCACAGGCUUCUCUACCUGAGGCUGGACCGGAAUCGGCUUUGGGCCAUCCCUCCUGGCCUGCCAGCCUCCCUGCAGGAGCUGCACUUGGGCGCCAACCUCAUCGAGGAGGAGACUGAGUGAGCACUGAGUGGCUGCCACAGCCUCAGCGUGCUGGUCCUCAGCAACAACUGGCUCCAGGAGGGCCGCCUGGUGCCCGGGGCUUGGACUGAUCCGCCCCUCCACCCUGUUCGUGUGUCUCUGGCUUCUCUGGC
ensembl:lncRNA